rnacentral:tRNA from 1 species
GACUCUUUGGCGCAGUAGGCAGCGCGUCAGUCCGGCAAACUGAAGGUUCUGUGUUUGAUCCUCGGAAGGAGCG